GAUGAAGAACGCAGCGAAAUGCGAUAAGUAGUGUGAAUUGCAGAAUUCAGUGAAUCAUCGAAUCUUUGAACGCACAUUGCGCCCCUUGGUAUUCCAUGGGGCAUGCCUGUUCGAGCGUCAUUUGUACCUUCAAGCUUUGCUUGGUGUUGGGUGUUUGUCUCGCCUUUGCGUGUAGACUCGCUUUAAAAUAAUUGGCAGCCGGCGUAUUGAUUUCGGAGCGCAGUACAUCUCGCGCUUUGCACUCAUAACGACAGCGUCCAAAAGUACAUUUUACACUCUUGACCUCGGAUCAGGUAGGGAUACCCGCUGAACUUAAGCAUAUCAAUAAGCGGAGGA
rnacentral:misc_RNA from 1 species